AGUCAGUAAACAGUUUACUGGUGGACGAUUAGCCAUAGGCUUCUGGUUUUAGAUGAGUGAGCUUCAGAGGAGAUUUUUAUCUGUACAUGGCAUGUUUUGGGAGUGUCUGAAAUGGAUGUGUCUCAAGAAAUCUCUCCAGGUUCCUGCCUCUCUAAAGUCAAUCAAGUGACAAACCAAUUCAGGAUAUCAAGUCAACGAUCAGAACUUUAAAUGUGAUGCACCCGCUACAAGUACAUGGCCUAAGAAUUUCUAAGUAUCAAGAACUGCUAAUAUCACCAUCAAAAGCUGUAGCUUAUCAAUUCACAGGACCUCUUUGGUUGGAAGUUUCCUGAAGGGGAAUCAUCCUGACCCAGGGAUCCAACCUGUGUCUCCUACAUUGGCAGAUGGAUUCUUUACCACUGAGCAACCUGGGAAGCUUCCCACACCUAUAACCUUGUUUAAUCACCAGAAUAAAUUCAACAGGCUCUCUUUUAAGCGACUCAGAUCACUGGCACAUUGGUCUUUGGAAUGCUUUUGGAGUGUAACACCGAACGUGUUUUCUGUCUGCAGCCGUGGAGUACUUGGAGCUCUGGUGGGUGGGGGUUGGGAGUUACUGGGGCCCAGGUGAGUAAUCUGAACCUUGCCUCUUAGCAGCAAGCCUUGUCUGAUCACGUGCUUGGUCCCCCCUCUCCUCUGGAUGUUGAACGUAACCCAGAUAGAAGGGGCCUGGGGAUUCCACACCCUCUGCAAAGAGCCCAUUUCUCCAGCCUGUUUCCUUCUGGUGGCCAGGAUAGAAGGGAGAGAAUAAAAGACACAAACUUCUGUGCAUAUGAAUGCAUCCAGAAGGGUCUUUCUGAGUACCUGUGUUCCUUGGAAAGCAAGGGAGGUAGCUAAAGAGAUGGAGCUAACCAGACAAAGGCAGGUGGGUAUAUGCUGCCGAAAAAAACUUUUGAUGGACCCAGUAUUUGCACAGCUUCAGGAAUUUUUGACGCACAGCAUCUCAUACCACACACGAUGCUCCUGCCAACCUGAGUCCAAAUGACCAAGGUGGCCUUUGUAACCCCACAUGGGACACCAAGCAGAUUCUAAACCAAGGGUGAAUUUGCUGUCUGUGACUCAUUUUACUUAUUAUUAUUAUUACUUUCCAAAAAGUCUAUGCUGGGACUUCCCUGGUGGUCCAGUGACUAAGACCCCACACUCCCAAUGCAGGGGGCCUGAGUUUGAUCCCUGGUUGGGGAACCAGAUCCCACAGGCCGCAUCUAAGAUUCAGCACAGCCAAAUACAUAAAUAAAUGAUUUUGUAAAAAGUCUAUCCUGGCCCAGUAACUUAGUUGUGUCCACUCAGCAGGAACCAGGUUUAAAGGAACACAGGAGAGCCAGGUAGGCCAGUCACAGAAAUGAGCAAAAAUGGAGAUGCUCCAUGGAAUUCUAGUCCUAUUAGUUUUUCUUGAAGUAUGGUUCCUGGAUUUCCUGCCUCAAAAUCUCUUGAGGUGUUGGUUAAAAAGGAAGCUAGCCAAGACCAUUCUAGAUGGCAAGAACCAGAUUCUCGGUUUCACCAUCUGUUUUUCUCCCCAAGAGGGUCUUAGGCCGAAUCAUAUUUCAGAACCUGGUUAGGUGCUCAUGGAAAAACUGUGCCAUCAUGACAUAUUUUUGGAAAACACAGCAGACCGUAUCAGCCCUCUCCUCCCCUUAGAGAUUCAUGAUCUAUGUCAGCAUGUGCAAAGUU